UUUACAAUGGAGAGUUUGAUCCUGGCUCAGGAUGAACGCUAGCUACAGGCUUAACACAUGCAAGUCGAGGGGAAACGAUAUUGGAAGCUUGCUUCCGAUAGGCGUCGACCGGCGCACGGGUGAGUAACGCGUAUCCAACCUGCCCACCACUUGGGGAUAACCUUGCGAAAGUAAGACUAAUACCCAAUGACGUCUCUAGAAGACAUCUGAAAGAGAUUAAAGAUUUAUCGGUGAUGGAUGGGGAUGCGUCUGAUUAGCUUGUUGGCGGGGUAACGGCCCACCAAGGCGACGAUCAGUAGGGGUUCUGAGAGGAAGGUCCCCCA
rnacentral:rRNA from 1 species